rnacentral:ncRNA from 2 species
UAACAUACUUUAUAUUGAGGUGUUUGUAAUAUUAAAAGGGAAGUCGGUGCAAAUCCGACGCGGUCCCGCCACUGUGAGGGGGAGUCUCUUCUUUGUCGAUAUUUCACUGUUUCAUUGUAGAGAAAUGGGAAGGAUUCGGAAGAUGACGGGGAACCUGAGCCAGGAGACCUGCCACAAAAUAAGAACGGAA